AAUCUUAAGAAAUCUGGUACUUCUCCAUUGAGUUUUGGCGAUUUUGCUGCGAACUCGGCACUGAGUGUGUUGAUACUUGUGACUCGUACUGAGUUUUGGUGAGUUAAGUUGACUCACUAUGAUUGCUCGACUUACUAUUGAGUUUCUACUGGGUCAGUGUGACUCUUUGGGGUUUCUUGCACUAACUGGAGCCUUGUGUUCACUUUUGGUAAAUAAGAGCAAAUGAAACAAAGUGAUUUCUGGGUUCAGUAGUUCAUAACAAGCAUAGUUCAACAAGGUAGAGAUUGCUGAAUUUGGAAUGCCUCACUAUUAUUGGCAUUGGGCUAUCAUAUUUGUAAUUGGGUUGCUAAAAUUGGACUUCUGGGUUUUGAUAAAUCGUAUCUUAUAAUGCGGCUUUGCCUCUCUUUAUUGAUGAGAUCUAGCUCUACACAUGGCUAUUUCUCAAUUGUUGGAUUUGAAUAAUUCUUGGGUGACUUUUUAAAUAUAAAAAUGCGUUCAUUUGAGUAGUUGGAU